rnacentral:rRNA from 1 species
UAAUACGAAGGGGGCUAGCGUUGCUCGGAAUCACUGGGCGUAAAGGGCGCGUAGGCGGACGUUUAAGUCGGGGGUGAAAGCCCAGGGCUCAACCCUGGAACGGCCUUCGAUACUGGACGUCUUGAGACCGGAAGAGGUUGGUGGAACUGCGAGUGUAGAGGUGAAAUUCGUAGAUAUUCGCAAGAACACCGGUGGCGAAGGCGGCCAACUGGUCCGGUUCUGACGCUGAGGCGCGAAAGCGUGGGGAGCAAACAGGAUUAGAUACCCUGGUAGUCCACGCCGUAAACGAUGGAUGCCAGCCGUUGGCGAGCUUGCUCGUCAGUGGCGCAGCUAACGCUUUAAGCAUCCCGCCUGGGGAGUACGGUCGCAAGAUUA